rnacentral:lncRNA from 12 species
CCCGGCCCGGCCCGCCCCGCCCCUGGAGCCCGCGCAACCCGUCUGCGCUGCCUUCGUGCGCCCCCUGCCGGCCGCUCAGGGCCGGGCGAACCCCCGGAGCCGGUCCUCCGCAGAGCUUCAUCUCCGCGGACAAUAGACAAUGGAAUUUUUUUUUUUUUGGAACAAUGAUUUAUUUUGGGGGGUGGGGAUAAGGAGGAAGGAGGGAGGGAGGAAGCGGCAGUGUGUUUGUCAUCGCUUUGGAAAAAAAAAAUCUCUGUUCUAUCAUUGUUUCUGCAUAUCCAUUAUAUUGAGGACAAAAGAAGCCCGUUCUGGAACAACAAAGCCAAGGGAAGUGUUUUCUGGGGCUGACAUUUAAUUGUGCGCGCAAGGUGCCACAGGAGCAUGCGGAGCAGGAGCGGGAGCGGGUCGAGGGGAGAGGGCACAGCCCCAGGCCCCGGCCCGACCUGCUGCUUGAGGCCUGGGUCCCCUCCGCCGCCCGCAGACCCCCCCAGGGCACACACUGCACACAACCCUACCUUCCUUACGGCUUUCCCACCCAUCACAAGGCUUCCUUGCGGAGGAUUUUCACAGCACCUCCCAGCUCUAUUCUUUUACAGCCAACAGGGAAGACUAUGCUUUGCCUCCCAACCUCAGUACACGGUCCUUACCAAGAUGAUCCCAAUUUUUAGGAGCUUUUAGGAAGCUUGGGGACACUCGGUCCAACCUCUGGUUUUACAGAUGAGUGAGAGAGAAUGCCUGGACCAAAGUCUCACAAAUAAUCUGAGGUGGAAGCAGCACCAGAACCUUUCUAUCCUGAACCCUGGUUUCUAUUGUGACCUGCCGCUGCAUGUCCUUGAUGCCCAGCACCCCCUGGCUUGCUCACCCUCAUGGCCUCCUUUCCGCAGGAGAAGCCCAUACACAGUGAGCUGUGUUGCACCAAGGUUCAUGAAAAAAAUCCUUGGAGAGAUGCAGAUAGCUGAUCACGCUGUAGAACAGAGACAUUUUUUCUUUUUCCACCUUCUAAAACAUGCUACAACAGACGGUGCUCCCCGUUAA